UACGUAGGGCGCAAGCGUUGUCCGGAAUUAUUGGGCGUAAAGAGCUCGUAGGCGUCUUGUCACGUCGGAUGUGAAAGCCCGGGGCUUAACUCCGGGUCUGCAUUCGAUACGGGCUGGCUAGAGUGUGGUAGGGGAGAUCGGAAUUCCUGGUGUAGCGGUGAAAUGCGCAGAUAUCAGGAGGAACACCGGUGGCGAAGGCGGAUCUCUGGGCCAUUACUGACGCUGAGGAGCGAAAGCGUGGGGAGCGAACAGG
rnacentral:rRNA from 1 species